rnacentral:lncRNA from 1 species
UGCCUUCAACAUAAUAUUUUAAAUUAAUCCAACAAACUAAAACAUCAAGUAUAAUAUGUCUAAUAACUUAAAAAUAAUAUAAAUUGUCUCAAAUCAACUUAAAAUAUUAAAGUGUUCCAAAACAAAUAGGCGCAAUCUAGAAUCAUAGGGUUUAUCUUAUAUAUAUAUAUAAGAUAAGGGCUUCAUGUUUCUUACCUUGAGCCGCCCUUGCUCCACAAGCACAACACGUCGAUAAGAAUAAUCUACCGGAAGAAGAGCUACUGUGUGCUGAGUUAUUUAGUCAAAUUAUGGAGAAACAAGAAGAGAUUGUUAUCAUUGACGCUUGUUCCACCACAUUCUGGAAGAAUCUCCAACAUAAAAGAUACAAUCCUACUAAUAAUGAAAAAGACGUAAUUAGUGCCAAUUAGAUAGUUUUUGAUGCGGUUGAAAUAUUAUUUUAUUUUUUUAAUGAUGCGACCGAAAUACAAUAAGAAGGUGGAGAGAAAUAAAAUUUAGAAUCUAAAACAAAUAAAGGACUGUAAAUCAAGAGAACAAUA